CCCUGGUUGGCCCAGUUGGUAGAGCGCUCCACCUGUAAUGGAGAGGUCCCAGGUUCGAUACCCGGACCAGGCG
rnacentral:tRNA from 1 species